ACUUUUCUAGUAUUCAACCAGUACGGGUGAUUUCCACUUACCAAGUCUUAACACUAACUUAAGGAAAAGUA
rnacentral:tRNA from 1 species